UACGUAGGGUGCAAGCGUUAAUCGGAAUUACUGGGCGUAAAGCGUGCGCAGGCGGUUAUAUAAGACAGAUGUGAAAUCCCCGGGCCUAACCUGGGAACUGCAUUUGUGACUGUAUAGCUAGAGUGUGUCAGAGGGGGGUAGAAUUCCACGUGUAGCAGUGAAAUGCGUAGAGAUGUGGAGGAACACCAAUGGCGAAGGCAGCCCCCUGGGAUAACACUGACGCUCAUGCACGAAAGCGUGGGGAGCAAACAGG
rnacentral:rRNA from 1 species